UGAGUACGAGAUGCUACGGCAUCGAAGCAGUCUAUGUCAUACUUCCAAGAAAAGCUUGCACUGUCAUAAACAAGGAAUGCCUGUACCAUAACCGACACAGGUGGGUAGGUAGAGUAUACUAAGGGGCGCGAGAUAACUCUCUCUAAGGAACUCGGCAAAAUGACUCCGUAACUUCGGGAGAAGGAGUGCCUUAUUUCUAAGGUUGCAAUAACAAGAUCCAAGCAACUGUUUACCAAAAACACAGGUCUCCGCUAAGUCGUAAGACGAUGUAUGGGGGCUGACGCCUGCCCAGUGCCAGAAGGUUAAAGAAGUUGGUUAGCAUUAGCGAAGCUGAUAACUGAAGCCCUGGUGAACGGCGGCCGUAACUAUAACGGUCCUAAGGUAGCGAAAUUCCUUGUCGGGUAAGUUCCGACCCGCACGAAAGGCGUAAUGAUUUGGAUACUGUCUCGGAGAGGGGCUCGGUGAAAUAGACUUGUCUGUGAAGAUGCGGACUACCUGCACCUGGACAGAAAGACCCUAUGAAGCUUUACUGUAACUUGAGAUUGAAAUUGGACUUUAUUUGCGCAGUAUAGGUGGGAGGCGUUGAGAAUAAUCUUGCGGGAUUGUUGGAGCCAUCAGUGAGAUACCACUCUUGUAAUGUUAGAUUUCUAACUUUGUAUCAUUAUCUGGUCAAAGAACAGUUUCAGGCGGGCAGUUUGACUGGGGCGGUCGCCUCCCAAAGGGUAACGGAGGCGCACAAAGGUUUCCUCUGAACGGGUAGAAAUCGUAUCUAGAGUGUAAAGGCAUAAGGAAGCUUGACUGUGAGACCUACAAGUCGAGCAGGGACGAAAGUCGGUCUUAGUGAUCUGACGGUGCUGAGUGGAAGGGCCGUCACUCAACGGAUAAAAGUUACUCUAAGGAUAACAGGCUGAUCUCCCCCAAGAGUUCACAUCGACGGGGAGGUUUGGCACCUCGAUGUCGGCUCAUCGCAUCCUGGGGCGGUAGUCCGUCCCAAGGGUUGGGCUGUUCGCCCAUGAAAGCGGUACGCGAGCUGGGUUCAGAACGUCGUGAGACAGUUCGGUCCAUAUCCGGUGUAGGCGUUAGAAUAUUGAGAGGAGCCUUCUCUAGUACGAGAGGACCGAGAAGGACAUACCUCUGGUGUACCAGUUAUCGUGCCAACGGUAAACGCUGGGUAGCUAUGUAUGGAGUGGAUAACCGCUGAAAGCAUCUAAGUGGGAAGCCCACCUCAAGAUAAGUAUUCUCA
rnacentral:rRNA from 1 species